rnacentral:rRNA from 1 species
UCGGGAAUUUUGGGCAAUGGGGGAAACCCUGACCCAGCAACGCCGCGUGAAGGAUGAAGUAUUUCGGUAUGUAAACUUCGAAAGAAUAGGAAGAAUAAAUGACGGUACUAUUUAUAAGGUCCGGCUAACUACGUGCCAGCAGCCGCGGUAAUACGUAGGGACCAAGCGUUGUUCGGAUUUACUGGGCGUAAAGGGCGCGUAGGCGGCAUGACAAGUCACUUGUGAAAUCUCUGGGCUUAACCCAGAACGGCCAAGUGAUACUGUCGCGCUAGAGUGCAGAAGGGGCAAUCGGAAUUCUUGGUGUAGCGGUGAAAUGUGUAGAUAUCAAGAGGAACACCUGAGGUGAAGACGGGUUGCUGGGCUGACACUGACGCUGAGGCGCGAAAGCCAGGGGAGCAAACGGGAUUAGAUACCCUAGUAGUCCCUGAGCGGGCUGGCAAGGCGCAU